CUUCCGGCAGAAGCGCCGGGGCGAGGGGGCGGGGCUUACAGAGCCGGUGGGCGGUAGGCGGUGCUGCCGGUUUCUGGGUGCUGUUCAAAGGCGACAGGGCGUCGUUAGGAGAGCUAAGUGUGAUCGGUUGGGCCACACUUAGCGUGGGACGAAUCUUGUGCUACUGUUUGACGACGUGCGGCCUCCCCUUGAUGUCGGCCCUCGAGAAGAGCAUGCACCUUGGCCGCCUGCCCACUCGCCCUCCUCUCCCCGGUAGCGGGGGCAGUCAGAGCGGAGCCAAGAUGCGAAUGGGCCCUGGAAGAAAGCGGGACUUUUCCCCUGUUCCUUGGAGUCAGUAUUUCGAGUCUAUGGAAGAUGUGGAAGUAGAGAAUGAGACUGGCAAGGAUACUUUUCGAGUUUACAAGAGUGGUUCAGAGGGUCCAGUCCUGCUUCUUCUGCAUGGAGGAGGCCAUUCUGCCCUUUCCUGGGCUGUGUUCACGGCAGCGAUCAUUAGUAGAGUUCAGUGUAGGAUUGUGGCUGUGGAUCUUCGAGGUCAUGGUGAAACAAAAGUCAAGAAUUUUGAAGAUCUGUCUGCAGAAACAAUGGCAAAAGAUAUUGGCAAUGUGGUUGAAGCCAUGUAUGGAGAUCUCCCUCCUCCAAUUAUGCUGAUUGGACAUAGCAUGGGUGGUGCUAUUGCAGUGCAUGCGGCAGCAUCUAACCUGGUGCCAAACCUCCUGGGUCUGUGCAUGAUUGACGUUGUGGAAGGUACAGCAAUGGAUGCACUUAAUAGCAUGCAGAACUUCUUACGUGGUCGUCCUAAAACCUUCAAGUCUUUGGAGAAUGCUAUUGAAUGGAGUGUGAAGAGUGGCCAGAUUCGAAAUCUGGAGUCGGCCCGUGUCUCAAUGGUUGGCCAAGUCAAACAGUGUGAAGGAAUUGCAAGUCCAGAAGGCUCAAAAUCUAUAGUGGAAGGAAUCAUAGAGGAGGAAGAAGAAGAUGAAGAAGGAAGUGAGUCAGUAAACAAAAGGAAAAAGGAAGAUGACAUGGAGACCAAGAAAGACCAUCCAUAUACCUGGAGAAUUGAACUGGCAAAAACAGAAAAAUACUGGGAUGGCUGGUUCCGAGGCUUAUCCAAUCUCUUUCUUAGUUGCCCUAUUCCUAAAUUGCUGCUCUUGGCUGGUGUUGAUAGGUUGGAUAAAGAUCUAACCAUUGGCCAGAUGCAAGGGAAGUUCCAGAUGCAGGUCCUACCCCAGUGUGGCCAUGCAGUCCAUGAGGAUGCCCCUGACAAGGUAGCUGAAGCUGUUGCCACUUUCCUGAUCCGGCACAGGUUUGCAGAGCCCAUCGGUGGAUUCCAGUGGUAAGGAUGUGCCAGGGCUUAGGAGCCCAGCAGUGCGGCCAACACCAACACAUAGUGUGUUUCCUGGCUGUUAGUGACCUGCUAUCUACCCUACCCUCAACAUUGAGCUCUGUUGUAAAUACAACGCACCAGAGGCCACUGUGAUGCCGCUGUUUCCUCCUCACCAUCCUGUCCAGCCACGUGACACCGGCUCCCCAUAGAUGGGCAUCCCUAGAUGUGUAAACCCUGUUGUGUAUUCCUACCCAAAGCAUUAUUUUCCAGGCCCCUUGUCCAGCAUUGGCCUUCCCAGUCCAGAAUUCUUAGCUCUUACCCCUUCCCUGGGGAGGGGUAGCCCCUGUCUGUUUUCCUUGCCUUGCUUAGGGUGAAGCCUCCAGAGCUACCACCCUGGGCUUUGAUUCUUGGCAUCUGGCAAUGCACCUGGAUCCAAAUGUUUCCCCAGGCUCAGGGACCUUCAUUCCUUGAUAUUGUUCUUGGCAUGGUCCUGCCUUACCUCAUGGGAUGGACAAUGCACAGGGUGAUCCUUAUUUCUCCCUUUCAAAUAAAACACCCGUCAGGUACCGUUUUAUCCCAGUCUUACUCUAAACAGGUUGAGAAGACCCAGAGAGGCCAGGAGCCCAGCCUUAGAUACAGGAGGGGUGGUGGAUAGCAAGCAUCACAAGAAACCAGUCUGAAAAUCAGGUCCAGCCAGUCCAAGCACAUGGGCUCCCAUCUGGGUGAGCCCACUGUUCCACUCCCACAUGUCCGGGCACCUGCCCUGGGCUGAGGCCAGGCUGCUCCAGGGGCUUCUUGAGCCCUCACCUGCCCAAAAGCACCCCAGGUUAAAUACAGCCCAUGCACAAAGCCACAGGCUGAACCCUGUGGAAUUGUUUUUAAUAAUUUAACCAUUUUCGUAGUUGGUUCCUGGAGGUGUGCAGAGUGCCCACUUGCCUUUUCUAGACCAUAGCUUCUCAUUGCCAUUUGUGGUUUUCAUGUCACUCUACAUAGAAACAUUACAACCUUGCACCCUCAGUCUUUGCCCUUGUCUUUGCCCUCAGUCUUAGCUGCCUCAUCCCAGCACUGAGGUUUCCCCCUGCUGCCCAGGCACGCCAUUUCCAAGGGCAAGGAGGGGAAGUCUCCUAAAGCCCAUCUUCUUUGUGACUGUCUUAGGUAGUCCCCUCUACCUUUCACCCAACAACUUCCUUUCCCUGUCCUGCUGCAUGGUCCAGAGUCUGGGACCUACUUUGUUUCUUUGUAUUUAUGACCUUGUUUGAAGAAAAUAAAUAUUUCCCAACCUUUA